UUAAAUUGAAGAGUUUGAUCAUGGCUCAGAUUGAACGCUGGCGGCAGGCCUAACACAUGCAAGUCGAACGGUAACAGGAAGAAGCUUGCUUCUUUGCUGACGAGUGGCGGACGGGUGAGUAAUGUCUGGGAAACUGCCUGAUGGAGGGGGAUAACUACUGGAAACGGUAGCUAAUACCGCAUAACGUCGCAAGACCAAAGAGGGGGACCUUCGGGCCUCUUGCCAUCGGAUGUGCCCAGAUGGGAUUAGCUUGUUGGUGGGGUAACGGCUCACCAAGGCGACGAUCCCUAGCUGGUCUG
rnacentral:rRNA from 1 species